GAUGAACGCUAGCGGCAGGCUUAAUACAUGCAAGUUGAGGGGCAGCAUGAUAUACGCGAGUAUAUUGAUGGCGACCGGCGGACGGGUGAGUAAUAGGUAGGAGACCUACCUCAUACAGGGGGAUAGCAUAGAGAAAUCUGUGGUAAUACCCCAUGAGGUUAUAUGAAUAGAGGCAUAUAAUCAAAGCAUAAGCGAUUAUGCGGUAUGAGAGGGGCCUACUGACCAUUAGCUAGUUGGUGAGGUAAGGGCUCACCAAGGCGAAGAUGGUUAGGGGUUUUGAGAGAGAGACCCCCCACAUUGGAACUGAGAGACGGUCCAGACUCCUACGGGAGGCAGCAGUAGGGAAUAUUGGGCAAUGGGCGAAAGCCUGACCCAGCCAUGCCGCGUGAAGGAAGACGGCCUUAUGGGUUGUAAACUUCUUUACUACGCGAAUAGAGGUUAGUACGAGAUACUAAUAGGAAGGUAGUGUAGUAAAAAGCAACCGGCUAACUCCGUGCC
rnacentral:rRNA from 1 species